rnacentral:rRNA from 1 species
GUAGAUGCUCGCCUCCGAGAUUAAGCCAUGCAUGCCCGCGAAGAAGGGAGCGGCGAACGGCUCAGUAAUACCGCGACGAUCUGCCCCGCGCGGCCGAUAACCACGGGAAACUGUGGCUAAGAGCGCGGGUUGAGACGCGGCCCCAUCAGCGAGUUGGCAGUGUAACGGACUGCCAAGGCUACGACGGGUGACGGGAGGUCAGGGCCUUGUUCCGGAGAGGGAGCCUGAGAGAUGGCUCCCACGUCCAAGGACGGCAGCAGGCGCGAAAAUUGCCCACUCCCACGCGGGGAGGCAGUUACGAGGCGUGGCGGAAGGGCGCACUGCAAAUGCGUGCGCGAAGGCGAGUGGAGGGCAAGUUCGGUGCCAGCAGCCGCGG